CUACGGGUUGCAGCAGUGAGGAAUUUUGCGCAAUGGGGGCAACCCUGACGCAGCAACGCCGCGUGAGUGAAGAAGGCCUUUGGGUCGUAAAGCUCUGUCAACAGGGAAGAAGUUAUAAUUAUUUAAUAGAUAAUUGUAUUGACGGUACCUGUGGAGGAAGCGCCGGCUAACUCCGUGCCAGCAGCCGCGGUAACACGGGGGGCGCAAGCGUUAUUCGGAAGUAUUGGGCGUAAAGGGCGCGCAGGCGGUCUUGUCCGUCAGGUGUGAAAGCUCGGGGCUCAACCCCGGAAGUGCACUUGAAACAGCAAGACUUGAAUACGGGAGAGGAGAGAGGAAUUCCUGGUGUAGAGGUGAAAUUCGUAGAUAUCAGGAGGAACACCGAUGGCGAAGGCAUCUCUCUGGACCGAUAUUGACGCUGAGGCGCGAAGGCGUGGGUAGCGAACGGGAUUAGAUACCCCCGUAGUC
rnacentral:rRNA from 1 species